UACAGAGGUCUCAAGCGUUGUUCGGAUUCAUUGGGCGUAAAGGGUGCGUAGGUGGUAAGGUAAGUCUGGUGUGAAAUCUCGGGGCUCAACCCCGAAACUGCACUGGAUACUGCCUUGCUUGAGUACUGGAGAGGAGAUUGGAAUUUACGGUGUAGCAGUGAAAUGCGUAGAUAUCGUAAGGAAGACCAGUGGCGAAGGCGAAUCUCUGGACAGUUACUGACACUGAGGCACGAAGGCCAGGGGAGCAAACGGG
rnacentral:rRNA from 1 species